CUACCAGAGUACUACGAAUCGUUAAAUUUAAAACUCAAAGGACUUGGCGGUGUCUUAGACCAUUUAGGGGAACCUGUCUCGUAAUCGACAAUCCACGUUGUACCUGACCUUUUUUUGUUAUCAGUUUGUAUACCGUUGUCGUCAGGUAACUUUUUAGAGAAGUGAAGUUAGCAAUAUAAAUGGAUUAUUUAAUACGUCAAAUCAAGGUGCAGCUAAUAAAAAGGGGAGGAUGGGUUACAAUUAUUUAUUUAUAAUUACGGAAGUAAGGUAUAGAAAUAUAUUACAUAAGGAGGACUUGAAAGUAAAUUAGAGUAGAUAUAUAAUUUGAAUGAGGCUCUGAGACGUGU
rnacentral:rRNA from 1 species